rfam:Pan troglodytes isolate Yerkes chimp pedigree #C0471 (Clint) chromosome 9, whole genome shotgun sequence.
GCUAGGCAUGGUGGCGCAUGCUUGUAAUCCCAGCUACUUGGGAGGCUGAGGUGGGAGGAUCACUUGAGCCCAGGAGUUCAAGGUUGCAGUGAGCUAUAGUUGUGCUACUGCACUUCAGCCUGGGCGACAGAGCAAGACUCUUAUCUCUU